AUUGAACCCUAACCAUUACCCGACCCUCACUCCAAAACGACAAAACGCGCAGCACUCCCCCCCAUCACCCUUGACCUUGAGCUACUCCUUCCUCAUGGUCAUCGAGCUCCUCCCUCACUCCCUAACUUCCGUCCAGCCACCGGCCUGCUACUGCCGCCGUCGCAACUUCGAGCUUCGAAGUCACCGUCGACACCUCCUUUUCCUCCAUCGUGCAGCCACCGUUUGAGCUUCGAAACCACCGUCACUGGUCCUGCCUCCUGCCUCCUGCCUCCUGCCUCUGUCCCGCAGUUACUGUCCCGCAGUUACUGUCCCGCCGGUGCCAACUCUGUUCCACCGGUCAGCCCUUCGGAUUAUAUACUCUUCCUGAGCCAGAGUUGUGCUUGAUAUGUAGUUUCCCUAUUCUGAUUUUAACAUGGUGCUCAUUUGAAGGGCAAUAUUAUUUAAAAUACUCUGCUUUUGUCUUACUUCAUCCAUACAGAAACCUAAAAGUGUACUACAUUUUGUUUGUCAUUGUUUUAAAAAAGACUUCAUAUAUGCAUUUUUAAAACUUUUGUCGGUGCAGGUGAACUUCUUAGCCAAACUGGUGGCUUUGAAACCCAGAGAUACUAUGCUUGGCAUGAUAAGAAAUGUAAUGCAAGAAAAAGAUGAAGGUGUUGACAAUGCUGGUAAUGAUAAUGAAGGAAAUGCUGAAAGGGUGAGUGCGACAGGAAGGAAGUCGCAUCUAGUACAUCCUGGCAUGUUUCUUGAGACCGUCUCCAAGUUAAUGUCAAAGUCAUGCUUGUUACAUUUUAUUCUUUGGUAUGAAGCAAAUUGGACUAAGAUGAUAUCUUUUAUGCACUUUUUUAUUGUUUUUGUUGUCUGCAGUGAAUUUGAAGUGUCGCGGGUUUCACCCAUGUGAUCAUCUUAUUAAAUUAGAGCUUGUGAGUUUAUGCUAAUUUUGUAAAAGAGCUUAUUUGGUUUAUGUUUCUUUUGUUGAAAACUUUAUGUUCCUGAAGAAUUUCUUUGUAAAGAUUUUAUCAUAGUAUAUGUUGCAGCUUAUAAAUGGAAAUCAAAUGAGCUCUAAAUCUCUUGCAUGCUUAUGUCUUUCUAUUUGUUUGAUUAAAGUGCUUGACUUAUGUAUUCUUAGGACUGAGUGAACUUAUAUCAAGACAAAUUGGAAUGUUUGCUUGAUUUAAUGCAAGGUAUGUGCUUAUUUUUUAAUAAUGCAAGGUCUUUUUACUCAUGACUGAUCUUCUUGGAACACCAUCUCUUGAAGCCAUUGCUAGGGUCUGUUCUUCAGUUUCCCGUUUCCCUUCUCUGCCCUCCUUUUUCUUUCUUUGUCUUUUACUGUGGUGGCAAUAUUACUUUCAAAUGUUGGCUGAAUUAGCCAUUGAUGAUAAUACAGCUUCAUAAAAUGCCAGCUCUUAGAAACCGCUAUUGACGUUAGAGAAAGACGCAGCUUCAAGAUGCCAAAGUGCUUGUGGGCUAAAGGAAAGAGAGACUAGAUAUCAAGGCUGCCCUAUCCAUUUCAUUUGGUUUUGAGGGCCGCAAUUCUCCAGCAUUCCAAACUUGCUUUUGCUCUCCAGCUCAAGCGGGUCAUGGAAUCAGAUUCUGCGUUAACGGAGGACUUGAUAGCUUACAACAUCAUUCCCUUAGAUGCUGCAUCUUCAACAAAUGCUUUUGUUUCUUUCCCUGAGGAGUCAGGUGACGUUGCCCGUGAAGAGCUUGGGCGUUUGCAAAUGCAUUGCGGCACCACAAGAAGCUAAUACCGAUACCAUGCAAACAAAGCUCCCUUUUUUUCGGGUUGAUUUGAAUAUCAUGAUUGUUCUUCUUAUUAUCCCACUAUGCAUUAGCUAUAUGGUCCCCUUUUGCAAUUUCUUGAGUGAGAAGUUCAUCACACAAGCUUCUUGGGUAGCAAUUUCCGAGAUUUUUAACUGCCUUGGAAUGGUAGUCUUGUGCUGUUACUAUUAAAGGAUCAGGCACAUAAUCCUUUACAAGUUUUUUUUAGCUCGUAAUUUUAGACUUAUGUGUGGACUAUUGAUAUUCAAAUGAAAUUUAAACCGUGUGUUGGAUCCAAAAAGAAGAGCCUAAAUUAUUUUAUUGUUGCUGAAUUUGGAUGGGUUGGCUUGUACUAGAUUACUAGUGGAAUCUAGUGGAUUGUGUUCUGGAAGGGUUAUUGGUAAUGUCAUGGUGGUUCUUGAAAAAGAGCAUACACGUUUCUCCGUUUAUAUAGUAUUCAAGAUAAAAUUUUUUGUUUCUUCUUUGAAGCCUACAAGAUGAAGGUCUCUCGCAAUGGAAAUAUUGCUAAACUUCAAGCCGGGUAUCUCUUUCCGGAGAUUGCUAGAAGAAGGAAUGCACACUUGCUUAAGUACCCUGAUGCCAAAGUAAUAAGCCUUGGAAUUGGUGAUACUACUGAACCCAUUCCUAAUGCCAUAACUUCUGCAAUGUCAAAGAGAUCACAUGCAUUAUCAACUGUAGAAGGAUAUAGUGGUUAUGGAGCUGAAAAAGGUGAAAAGAUUGUCUUAAUCAAAGGCUUUGUGUGGAAAACAAGUUGGAACACUAGCUGACCAAACUAGAUCAAUAAGCUAACAUUUAAUUCAACCAAAUUCAGUUAUAUUAGUUAUCAAGCUGCUGCCGUUAAGUUGAGCACUGUGAUGGAUGCCUUGAGAAGAAAAUAUAAAGAAGACCAAACAGUUUCAGAGUGCAUGGUGCAAUCAAUGGAAACUGUGUUUUGGAGCUGAAAUCUCCAGUUCCCUAUCCCUAGGAUUUGAGAUGGUGUUGUAUUUAAGUAUGUAUUUCUGUAGGAAAAAAAA